GACGAACGCUGGCGGCGUGCUUAACACAUGCAAGUCGAACGAUGAAGCCAGAGCUUGCUCUGGUGAAUUAGUGGCGAACGGGUGAGUAACACGUGAGUAACCUGCCCCGAACUCUGGGAUAACUGCUGGAAACGGUAGCUAAUACUGGAUACGACCUACAAAGGCAUCUUCUGUAGGUGGAAAGAAUUUCGGUUCGGGAUGGACUCGCGGCCUAUCAGCUUGUUGGUGAGGUAAUGGCUCACCAAGGCGACGACGGGUAGCCGGCCUGAGAGGGUGAUCGGCCACACUGGGACUGAGACACGGCCCAGACUCCUACGGGAGGCAGCAGUGGGGAAUAUUGCACAAUGGGCGCAAGCCUGAUGCAGCAACGCCGCGUGAGGGAUGACGGCCUUCGGGUUGUAAACCUCUUUUAGUAGGGAAGAAGCGAAAGUGACGGUACCUGCAGAAAAAGCACCGGCUAACUACGUGCCAGCCGCCGCCGUAA
rnacentral:rRNA from 1 species